rnacentral:rRNA from 1 species
GAGUUUGAUCCUGGCUCAGGACGAACGCUGGCGGCGUGCCUAAUACAUGCAAGUCGAGCGGACAGAAGGGAGCUUGCUCCCGGAUGUUAGCGGCGGACGGGUGAGUAACACGUGGGUAACCUGCCUGUAAGACUGGGAUAACUCCGGGAAACCGGAGCUAAUACCGGAUAGUUCCUUGAACCGCAUGGUUCAAGGAUGAAAGACGGUUUCGGCUGUCACUUACAGAUGGACCCGCGGCGCAUUAGCUAGUUGGUGGGGUAAUGGCUCACCAAGGCGACGAUGCGUAGCCGACCUGAGAGGGUGAUCGGCCACACUGGGACUGAGACACGGCCCAGACUCCUACGGGAGGCAGCAGUAGGGAAUCUUCCGCAAUGGACGAAAGUCUGACGGAGCAACGCCGCGUGAGUGAUGAAGGUUUUCGGAUCGUAAAGCUCUGUUGUUAGGGAAGAACAAGUGCGAGAGUAACUGCUCGCACCUGACGUACCUACAG